GUCGGGGGAUGCAUGCGUUAUCCGGAAUCACUGGGCGUAAAGCUUCUGUAGGUGGUGAUGCAAGUCACUGGUGCAAAACUCUGGCUCAACCGGAGGAAAGCCAGUGAAACUGCAUGACUAGAGUGUGGGAGAGGUAGAAGGAAUUCCCUGAGUAGCGGUGAAAUGCGUAGAGACAGGGAAGAACACCGGAGGCGAAAGCGUUCUACUGGAACACAACUGACAAUGAGAGACGAAAGCUAGGGGAGCGAAUGGG
rnacentral:rRNA from 1 species